ACGAUCAGUAGGGGUUCUGAGAGGAAGGUCCCCCACAUUGGAACUGAGACACGGUCCAAACUCCUACGGGAGGCAGCAGUGAGGAAUAUUGGUCAAUGGGCGAGAGCCUGAACCAGCCAAGUAGCGUGCAGGAUGACGGCCCUAUGGGUUGUAAACUGCUUUUAUAAGGGAAUAAAGUGAGCCUCGUGAGGCUUUUUGCAUGUACCUUAUGAAUAAGGACCGGCUAAUUCCGUGCCAGCAGCCGCGGUAAUACGGAAGGUCCGGGCGUUAUCCGGAUUUAUUGGGUUUAAAGGGAGCGUAGGCCGGAGAUUAAGCGUGUUGUGAAAUGUAGAUGCUCAACAUCUGCACUGCAGCGCGAACUGGUUUCCUUGAGUACGCACAAAGUGGGCGGAAUUCGUGGUGUAGCGGUGAAAUGCUUAGAUAUCACGAAGAACUCCGAUUGCGAAGGCAGCUCACUGGAGCGCAACUGACGCUGAAGCUCGAAAGUGCGGGUAUCGAACAGGAUUAGAUACCCUGGUAGUCCGCACGGUAAACGAUGGAUGCCCGCUGUUGGUCUGAAUAGGUCAGCGGCCAAGCGAAAGCAUUAAGCAUCCCACCUGGGGAGUAC
rnacentral:rRNA from 1 species